GUAGCUGAAGUCUGGGUUAGUGGGACCAUUUUCAUAAGGAAUGUUUUGCUUUUCAAAAAGCAAAACCCAGGCAAUUCUGCUUGCUGAGCUGUGGGAUACUGACCUUUUUGGCUGUCUUGGGCCGCUACGUCCCUGGGCUUCUGCUGUCCUACUUGAUGUUGUCACUGUCAUGAUGUGGCCCCUUGCUGUGUACCACCGACUGUGGGAUCGAGCAUAUGUGCGGCUGAAGCCAGCUCUGCAGCGGCUAGACUUCAGUGUCCGUGGCUACAUGAUGUCCAAGCAGAGAGAGAGACAAUGUAA
rnacentral:lncRNA from 1 species